rnacentral:rRNA from 1 species
UAAUACGUAGGGUGCGAGCGUUAAUCGGAAUUACUGGGCGUAAAGCGUGCGUAGGCGGCGCGCUAAGACAGGUGUGAAAGCCCCGGGCUUAACCUGGGAAUGGCGCUUGUGACUGGCGGGCUCGAGUGCGGCAGAGGGAGGUGGAAUUCCACGUGUAGCAGUGAAAUGCGUAGAGAUGUGGAGGAACACCGAUGGCGAAGGCAGCCUCCUGGGCCGACACUGACGCUCAAGCACGAAAGCGUGGGGAGCAAACAGGAUUAGAUACCCUGGUAGUCCACGCCCUAAACGAUGUCGACUGGUUGUUGGGGAAGGCAACUUCCUUAGUAACGAAGCUAACGCGUGAAGUCGACCGCCUGGGGAGUACGGCCGCAAGGUUA